rnacentral:rRNA from 1 species
UACGUAGGGUCCGAGCGUUGUCCGGAAUUAUUGGGCGUAAAGGGCUCGUAGGCGGUUUGUUGCGUCGGGAGUGAAAUCCUCCAGCUUAACUGGAGGCUUGCUUUCGAUACGGGCAGACUUGAGGUAUUCAGGGGAGAAUGGAAUUCCUGGUGUAGCGGUGAAAUGCGCAGAUAUCAGGAGGAACACCGGUGGCGAAGGCGGUUCUCUGGGAAUUACCUGACGCUGAGGAGCGAAAGCGUGGGGAGCGAACAGG